AAAAAAAUAGUGUCUAUAAACCUGCAUAGUUUAGAACUAAAGAAUAUGUUAAAAUUUUCCAUCGUGGAAAUUUCCCAGCUACUGGGCUCUUUAGAAUUUUUUUUUUUUUCAGAGCUGCAAGCAAAGAAUGGAAAUUUCCAAAUGCAGCAUCAAGGGCUGCUGUUCUGCUGACUGUCUUGCUCAGCCGGGGUCAUCUGCUUCUCUAAGACAUCAAGGAAUGCCAAGCCUUAACACAGCACAGUGCUGAGCCAUGGAGAGAGAAAGAGCACCUGACACAAUGUCUGGAGACCUGAGUUGUAGCAGUGGACAGCAAGGUUUUCCAACUGCAGAACUGGCUCUUGGUCCCUUUGACCCAACAAUACAAUAUACGGCAAGAGCAGAUACAUAACUCAAAUGUUUUAAGGAACCUUGAUCGCUCUUCGGAACAAGUGUACUGCUGUGGCAUGAAGUGGAAGGUAUAAUUUGGAGGCAGACAAGAGAGAAAAAGACUUUCACAAGUACAAUAUUCAUGUGAAUGUAGAAUAAAAAAUUAAUAAUUUCACCAAAUGUAAUGUAAGUUCAUAUGCAAGUUCUUUACAGAAGUAUAUGAAACUCUGCAGAAUUCAAAUCUUCCACGAAAAAAAUGUUUUCAACCCUCUAAGAAUAAAUACAGCUGGGAUACAAGCCACAGAGUGCUCUACCGUGUUGUUAUUCAUUUUAUCAUCCAUGAGAACUUGCUUUUCAUUCAGUGAAGAGUUACCACAACUCAGUCCUGUGCAGGAUUUUGGAAUUUUGGGAUAAUUGCUUUCCUUUUCCCUUCAAUAGGUAGACCUGGAAAGGAAUCUGUAAAGUGCUGUACAUCACAGCUCAGUCAAGAACAUGCAGGAGCCCGGCUUCUGGAGCUCAUCUUGCAACUAUGACUUGAAGAACGGGCGUCACAUAUUAAAGUUGGGAAAGUAAGAAGACAGAAAGGAUUUGCAUCUCAGAUGACCAUGGAGCCACUAUUCCAGGCUAGUAUUUCCUACCUCUAAAUAUCUUGGAAGGGAUUUGAGACAAAUGUAUUUCUACUUAUUGAAGCCACUAUGCUUUGAAUAUCUUUUUAUAUGCAGAAGACCAAUCCCUGUGGCAUACAUACAAACAUAAAAAAGUAUCAAAUGUCAGCUAUCAUGUGCAAAAAACAAAAUGUAAAAUUUUUAAAAUACAAAAGACAGCAUUUGAUGAAAUGACAAUUAUAGUGGUAGAUUUUAAUAUAUUCCAUCAGAAUUCAAUAGAAUAUGACAUAAAAACAAGAAAGAAUAUAGCAUCUGUCAUAUAGUAUAAUCUUACAUACACAUACGUAUGAGUAGAGAUGCAUGGUUAGUAAAGACUGUAUAAACCCAUAUUCUUCCACUUCAUAAAAAGGGAAUACACAAUCUUUUUAUAUGGUAUGAAACAUUUACAAAAUCAAUCAUGUACUUGGCCAUAAACCAUGAAAAUAUACAGAAGAAAGAUGUCUAUUCUCUUUGCGAGCAAAAUGACCUUGGGAGUUAUUUUGCUUUUCUGGGUUUUGUUUCUUUAUCUAGAGAGUCCUACUGGCCAGAAAUUUUAUCGUUUAUAAUUAUGAUCCCUCCCAGUCUAGCAUUUCACAGCCUGAUGUCCAUUUACCUACCUAAGCUGCUAGCGCUGCGUGUCCCCAGCUCUGUGUGGAGGGCUGGGCUGUUCUCCCCAUGGGCCAGCAGUGGCAGGAAGGCUCACAUUUCUCAGCUUGCCUCAGCUGUGCAGUGAGCACAAGCUGUCUACCCCAGAAUUCAAGAGCAACAAAAGAAUGUUAAAUGGAUGGAUUGUUACUCGCAGGAAAAGGAACAGGCACCAUGUUUCCAUUUAUUCUUCAUUUCAGACAACAACUGGCUGUUUCUGCUGGCUGGCCCAGGCACUGAAUGGGGUGCACUCUGGAGUACACCCCACAGAAGGCUGGAUGCAGGCCAGGGCAUUUUUUGACACAGUCUCAGCUUUAUUUUUGCUUAUUGCUGGCAAGCUAAUAUGAGGGACAGUAGAAAACAACUGACAAAAACUUUGUCAGUAAGGCGUAAAGGACAAGAAGUCUUUAAAGCCCUCCAAAUAUAAAUGUUUUAUACCAACAAAGAUCAUUUGUGACAUAGGAUAGAACUUCUAAAUUUAGCUAUCAGUUAAAGAGAAGAAAAACAUUAGUGUAAAUCUUUAAAAUAAUUUUUUAAAUUACAAAAAAGUAAUUUUGAAAUAGGUAAAUGAAACCAGGAAUAAUGGUGUAAGUGUAAGCCUGUAGUGCCAGUUAUUCGGGAGGCUGAAAGAGGAGGGUCUCAAGUUCGAGGUCAACCUUGACAGCAUAGUGAGAUCGGUUCUGAAUAAAUACUAAAUAAUAAACAAGUGAAAAAUAGUACUUCAGUGGCAGAGAGGCCUCAAUGAACAGGGCAGACAGUGGAAUGAAGGAGAAAAGUAAACAACCAAUAGCAGAAAUGAGGCAGAGAAGGUUGGCUAUAAUCUCUAAUAUAGAUGGCCCUGAUACGCUAACAAAAAGAAACACAGGCAGAGUAGAUCAGGAGAUAGAGUCCAUCAAGAUACUCUGUAUAGGAAAUAUACUCAACCUGAAAAAGGGUUUAUGGACCGAAAAUCAAAUAUGAGAAAACAAUGCUCUAUGUGACAGGGAACCAGAGAGUAAUAGGGACAACUAGACCAGCACCUGAAGAUAGGUUGGAAAGACAGGAUACUUUUGUGCAGUAGAGAACUACUCAGCUAUAAUGAAGGAAAACCUUGAGGCUUUUGUAGGUAAAGGAAUGCAACUUGAGAUCAGGUCCAGGAGUGAGAAGUUUUGGAACCACUUAGGUAAAUAGCAGUUUGCCCCCCAAAUCCAAAAACUGAGGGAAUUGUUGGGACUCAAAAUGUGCAGCACCCCGUCGGAGUGAAAGGGGAGGAAUAGUCUUCAAAAAAGAAGGCAGACGAUAUUGUUAAUAGUGUACCAGGAUUUAAAACCCACAUUGCUCACACCACUCUGUUUAGAUAGAUUAUAUUCUGUUCCAGUUUGUCUACUUGUACUAGAUCCGAGGGCACAGAUAGCUAUCCCAAAAAUAGCAACACAUAGUGUGGUAAUGAGCCUUAAUUUCCUAUUAACUUAAUCUAAAGUCCGGUAUAACUUACACUGUUUUAUCACAACUGAUCUUAGUUGAAUCUGGUUUGUUAGAUUGCUGUUUUGUAUUGACAGACUUUAUUCAAAUCUGUUAUGAUUGAUAGUAUCAAGUCUGAGAGUACAGGCAACUAUGCUGCAGAUGACAAAAUUCACUAGGAUACCCACUCUGGUUUGAUUACUACCUGCUUUUGAAGUUUUACACUGUCUACAAUUUUUUAUUAAUAUUAUUAUGUACUGCUAUAUUCAAUGAUACUAUGCCUGAUGAAUAGACAAUUCUAUUGAAGAUAACAAGAGACAACUUGUAGAUCAUCUUGUACUGUGGUUUCAUAUGACUUUUUCAUUUUAUGUUUUUAUGGGAAUUUGUUUUGUUUUGCUAGCUUUGUUUUUCCCUCUAAUACAGAAAGGAUAGAAAUACAUGUGAAGACUUAUGCAUGCUUAGAACCUAUAAACAGUUUAUGAGAACUGAUUAUAUAACACAUGAUGAAAUGAACUACUUUGAAGAAAAAGAAACACUACAGUACCCAGAGCUGAUUCUUUCACAUCAUGUUGUGAAAUCCAGCAAUACUAUAAUUUUUGUUCAGAGUGAUUUUAGCCUGUUUUGUUUUGUGUAAUUUCAACAUACAUGAAGAUAUGGACGGCUAUUUUGAAGAGAAUGAGAGACACUAUGACAGCCAUUGUUGACUUCCCUAUUGUCUGGUCUUGAAGACCUAAAAUGCCUUCCUCAUCCUGUUCAGAUCAGUUCUAUACUAUGUUGUUUCAUGUGAAUUCUCUGUAUGUGAAGAUAUGGACAACUAUUUGGAAGAAAACAAGAGACAAUACGAUAGAUAGUGAAGAUCUCUGAUUGUCUUGCUUUGAAAUUUAUGUCUCUUACAUUGCUUUAUGUUCUGCUUUGUUCUGUUUUGUUGUGUAUAAUUUUAUUCUCUUUAAAAUAAAAAAAUAAAAAUAGUACUUUGAUAAACAAGUAUUUUAAUAUAUGAAAACAUGUGAAUCUAUUAAGAAUACUAUUAGUUGUAUAUUAUCAUAAAUUAGUUUAUACAUAAGCUAAAAUACAUAGGAUGCUAAGAAUUAUACAAUCUUGGUAUAUAUUUUCAUUAAAGCAAACAAUAAUAAAAUAUCACAUUAAAAUGAACUUUUACCCCUGAAAUUUGAAGGUCAAAGAUGAAUUGAAGAUAGCAAGUUUCCCCAACUCAUUUUUGUUCACAAACCAGGGAGAAUCUGACUGAGAUCACCCAGGAAUGAAUGGGGAACUUGUUCCUUUGUUUCCGGGGAUCUACAGCAACAUCAGAAUAAUAUUUGUAUUUUGCAUAUCUUUGCAUGUUCCACCUCAAAUGUGGAUUUGCAAAUAGACUAAGAGGCUUUUGUUUUCUUUUUUCAUCAAAAAUAUUUCCUACCAUCUAGCUGUUCCUAGUUUUUCUUUGCAUUAUUUUAGGAUAUCCAUUUUUCACCAGUCUCUACUCCUGCUUCACUUUAAAAAAAUUUUGUGUGACUGCAAAAUUAGUUCCCAUCUUCCUGGUUAGAAUGAUCUUCUCACUAAUUUCUGUACUCAAUAAGUCCUGGGUUUUGUUUAAGCUGUUGUCAUUUACAGAUGUUCCAUGUGCAGGAGAUCAUCACUCCCAGGAAGAAGUUUUCCUUUGUCUUUCUGUCUGCCUGUCUGUCUAUUUCUUUCUUUCUCUCUCUCUCUCUCCCUCUCUCAAUGUCUCAAUGCAAUCACAGUGGUAGAUUUUAAUAUAUUCCUUUUGGAAUUUAAUACUGGUCAUUUAUCAAGGAAUAAUGGCAAAGGGGCAAGGAGAAACAGAAAAACUAAACAGUAGGAAGAGAGACAGAGAAUAGACUAUCUGAAUUAUUUUGGAAGCUUGGAUUCUGUAUUUGUUCUUCUUUUGUAACCCAAAUGAUUAGCACAAUGCUACCAGGCUAUAUGAAAUUGCUUUUUUCUGCAACUUAACAGAAAACAGUAAAACAUCUACUGGAUUGAAUUACUAAUUCUUAUCAAGAGUAGUGUAGAGAUCUAAAUGAAAAUGAUUUGAAAAAAUGUAAAAGUCAUUGUUUAUUCCAAAAAAAGAUCUUUGUAAAAAAUAUACAUGAGUCUGUCUCAGCACAUAAGCACCGUCAUCCUGCGUCCCUGCCUUUUCCCAGUGUAUUGAGGUCAGAUGCCUCUUCCUCAUAAUGGGAAGAGAUACCACAAAGUAAUUUUAAAUGAUUAAGAGAACAGAGAAGCCAGGGGAAAGCAACCUAUGAAAUCAGGACUCUUCCACAUAAGUUUGAAAGUCUCUUUGACUCUUUCUUUGUCAUCUGUUUCUUGUUUUCCUGCCUAUUAAUUAGAGUUCCAUCUGCCUCUCUGAAAAAGGACAGACCAUGCAGGACGGUGGGAUGGGGAGCUUGGAAAGAGGGGUUGGGGAUUAAAAGUCUUCAAAGUCUGGAGAAGGAGGAAAAUAAAUGGCAACUAACAUCAGUUGUCAGUUUCUUCCUCAAAUAGCACAUCUGGCAGCAAGAAAUUUCAGGGGAUGAAGACGACAUUGUUAUAAAUCUAACUCACAUCAUCAUUCUGGGAGUCUGAUGCUCCUUCUUCCACUUGUUGGUCAAUAAAAAAGUUCAUCUCCUGCAGAAUUCAGUCCCUGAAAAUGAGUCACAAUGCAUGACUCAAGGUUCAACAUGCCAUGGAAUUUUUCCCCAUGUUGGAGCCGCUUUCUGUAAGACUGGCAUGUAGGUCAGUUACUUCUGCAGCCCUGGGUUAAGUAUAGAUUUUGUUACAUGGUGUCUACAGUAUGAAUGUGUGUAUAAAAUAUUGCAUGUAUGUAUGUGUAAAUAUUGUAUAGAUGUAUUGUAUGUAUGUAUAAAAUAUUGUGUAUAUAUAAUACUGUGUAAAUAUAGUAUAUGUGUAAAAUAUUAUAUAUGGAUGGUGUUUGAAUAGUGCUAUAAUUAUAAACAUUUGUUCAAAAA